AUACGAAAGGUGCAAGCGUUGUUCGGAUUUACUGGGCGUAAAGAGAGUGUAGGUGGUUUAUUAAGUCGGAUGUGAAAUCCCGGGGCUCAACCUCGGAACUGCAUUCGAUACUGAUAGGCUAGAGUUUGGGAGGGGUAAGCGGAAUUCCGUGUGUAGCAGUGAAAUGCGUAGAUAUACGGAGGAACACCUGAGGCGAAGGCGGCUUACUGGACCAAUACUGACGCUGAGACUCGAAAGCGUGGGUAGCAAACAGGAUUAGAUACCCUAGUAGUCC
rnacentral:rRNA from 1 species